AAAUUUUUUACAUGUGGUCUUCUGUUCUCUUGCAUUGUCUAGUGGCUUUUAUUUUAUUGUAACUGCGUUCAUCUGUGCAAGGCAUCAUCAUUGACUUAGUGUAACUGCCUUCAGCAUCUCUGCAAGUCAUCAUAAUUGGCUUAUUCGUUGGUCUAUUGUUGUCUUUCCGUUGCUUCUUCCUUGAAAUCAGGCGCUGGACUGGAUUUCCAUUAAAGGCAUAAAUAUAUAA
rnacentral:misc_RNA from 1 species